ensembl:lncRNA
UGAGGAUCACCUCCUUUGGCCUGCUGGCCACACUCCUUUUAAUGCACCCCAGGAUCCCAUUGUCCUUCUUGGCUACUAAGGGUACGCCGCUGGCUCAUUUCCUACUUGCUACUGUGCUAGGACCACCAGCUCCACAGAGAUCCUCUCCAACAGGAAAGAAAAAUAACCCUCGCUUCACAAUCACACCUUAUUCAUGUCAUCACUUUUUGGCAGUACAUACAUUUUGAACAAUUACUGUAAAGGAUGAAGUACAGGAAGAGUAAAGUUUCAUCAAAAAUCUCUGAUGAACCCCUUGAGACCUCACUAAGGACUUUUGGGGAAGUUCCUGUCUAAAAGCUCGCAUGAAGUAAGUCAGAGCUCUUGUCGCUUCGGAUUUCGCUACUGUAAAGUCCCUCUGGAGGGACCACAUGACGAGCGUAAUUCACGCUUUCAGCUUUUGGACACCAGGCGUAUUUCUCGGGCAGAGCUCGCCGUGUGACUUCGGGGCGCCCACCUCCCAGCCCGCCCUCGCCGUGCAGCGGGCGACAUGUCCGCGUUCCGUGACCGCUGCGGGCAUCGUUCUCGUCUUCGGGGCAGACGUGCCGAACACACGCUCCCUCGUCCUUCGGUGCGUUCCUUCACUCAUCCAGCAGCGCCCUAAGCUCCCCGCCUUCCAAGCCCUCUGCUCCACCGACCGCUGUGAGCUUUCCUUUUGGCUACGCAGCCAGCGCAACGGGCAUUUCUAUCUUUCAAGCUCGCGAUUUGCGAUACUCCCACCCGACACACGCCUCGACCGCGGACACAGAACGCGGGGAGGGGCGGGGCGGCCGGCACGGGG